rnacentral:rRNA from 1 species
GAUGAACGCUGGCGGUAUGCUUAACACAUGCAAGUCGAACGGACUCUUCGGAGUUAGUGGCGGACGGGUGAGUAACGCGUUAGAAUCUGGCUUUGGGUUCGGGACAACCACUGGAAACGGUUGCUAAUACCGGCUGUGCCGAGGCGUACGAGAGAAAUUGCCUGAAGAUGAGUUCGCGUCUCAUUAGCUAGCUGGUGAGGUAAAGUCUCACCAAGUCAGCGAUCAGUAGCUGGUCUGAGAGGAUGACCAGCCACACUGGGACUGAGACACGGCCCAGACUAAUACGGGAGGAAGGAGUGGGGAAUUAUCCGGAAAGGGCGAAAGCGUGAAGAAGGAAUACCGAGUGAAGAAAGAAGGAUCUUGGGUUGUAAACCAGUUUUCUUAGAGAAGAACAAUAUGACGGUACCUAAAGAAUAAGCAUCGGCUAACUCCGUG